GACGAACGCUGGCGGCGUGCUUAACACAUGCAAGUCGAACGGAAAGGCCCUGCUUUUGUGGUGUGCUCGAGUGGCGAACGGGUGAGUAACACGUGAGUAACCUGCCCUUUACUUUGGGAUAACUUCAGGAAACUGUGGCUAAUACCGGAUAGCAGCUCCUGCUGCAUGGUGGGGGUUUGAAAGUUUCGGCGGCUGGGCUUGGACUCGCGGCUUCUCUGCUUGUUGGUGGGGUAGUGGAUUACCAAGGCUUUGACGGGUAGCCGGACUGGGAGGGUGACCGGCCACAGUGGGACUAAGAUAGGGCCCAGACUCCUACGGGAGGCAGCAGUGGGGAAUAUUGCAAAAUGGGCGGAAGCCUGAAGGAGGAACGCCGGGUGCGAGAUGACGGUCUUAGGGUUGGAAACAGCUUUAGCCUGUGACGAAGAGUGAGUGACGGUAAUGGGUAAAGAAGCACCGGCUAACUACGUG
rnacentral:rRNA from 1 species